rnacentral:misc_RNA from 1 species
UUUUCUUUUUCUUUUUUUUUCUUUGGUAUGGGGGGCACGUGUCUAUGGAGAGGAGGAAGCAUUUUUUUUUUCUUUUGGGAUGGGAGGUAUUGUCUCCCUAAUCCACUGUUAUAUCUGCCGUUGUUGUUGGUUUUGUAAAUUGCAUGUGAUUUUCUUGGUUGCAGAAGGUUUAGUAGGGAGGUAUAAAACCCACACUUUGCUUUGAAAUUAUUUUGCAUAUAGAAGUGUUACUUUGGAAAUUGGAGGUAAUAUAAGAUAUAAAUUUCUUUUGGUUGCUAUAACACAUCUUUUAAUCAUUUAUCUUUAGUGCAGAAGUGAUUUUCAAUGCCGAGAAAAAAGCUUAUACUGAUAUGCCAGUUUGGUGGUGAAUUUGUUACAAGUGAUGAUGGGUGUCUUACAUACACUGGUGGAGAGGCACAAGCUCUAGAUAUCAAUCAUGAAACUAUUUUUCAUGAUCUCAGGCUAGAAAUGGCCAAAAUGUUCAACUUAGAAUAUAAAUCAUUGUCCAUUAAGUACUUUCUCCCAGGAAAUAGGCAAACUCUCAUUACUUUAGCUAAUGACAAAGACCUAAAAAGGAUGUAUGAUUUUCAUGGGGACUCAGUUACUGCAGAUGUUUUUGUUCUGGGCAGAGAAGGUUUUAAUCCGGAAGACUUGCCAAUGCAUGCUAGCAGACCAAGUGGGAUAAAACUGGCCAAGACUGUGCCUGCUUCUGUGGCAUCUCAAGAUCCAACUGAUACACUUUCUGUUGCCCCUGCUGAUGAUGCAAAUACACACCUCUCUGUUACACUUGAUAUGAAUGCUACCCCUGCUGAUACUGUUAAGAAGCGAAGGCGUACUGCAUCCUGGAAAGUUGGUGCUAGUGAUCCUGCCAUUGUUGCUGUUACUGAUAAGGUUAAGGAGACUAGAAAAAGUGCAUCACGGAAGAAGAGUUUUCGGAAUCAUGGUGCUGCUGCCUUAGUUGUUGAGGAAGAACAGCAACCAAUGCAAUCAGAUGUUCCAUGGGUAGACAUUUCUCUUUAUUCAUCGACUGAUGUGAAUUCUAAAGAUAUUUCUCUGGAAGAAAUGGUUGCCUCUUGGAAAGAUGGAAUAGUUGGUGUUGGCCAAGAAUUCAAAAAUGUAGUUGAAUUUCGUGAUGCACUGCAGAAAUAUGCCAUUGCGCAUCGUUUUGUGUACAGGUUAAAAAAGAAUGACACCAAUCGAGCAAGUGGUGUAUGUGUGGCUGAAGGUUGCUCUUGGUCAAUUCAUGCAUCUUGGGUUCCAUCAGAUCAAGUCUUUAGGAUAAAAAAGAUGAAUAAAGCACAUACAUGUGGAGGGGAAUCAUGGAAGGCUGCUCAUCCAGCAAAAAGUUGGCUGGUCAGUGUUAUAAAGGACAGGCUAAGAGAUAGCCCACAUCGCAAACCUAAAGACAUUGCUACUUGUAUUUUGAAAGAUUUUGGGAUUGAGCUGAACUAUACACAAGUGUGGCGUGGAAUUGAAGAAGCAAGGAAGCAACUUCAGGGUUCAUAUAAAGAGGCUUAUGCCCAGUUGCCUUGGUUCUGUGAUAAGAUGGUAGAGGCAAAUCCAGGUAGUUCUGUGGAGCUUUUCAUAGAUGAUGACAGCAAAUUUCAACGCCUUUUUGUAUCAUUUCAUGCCUCAAUACAUGGUUUCAAGAAUGGUUGUCGCCCACUUCUAUUUCUUGAUUCUGCGAGUCUCAAAUCAAAAUACCAUGAGGUUUUGUUGACAGCUACAGCAUUAGAUGGGGACGAUAGUGCUUUUCCGGUUGCAUUUGCUAUAGUAGAUAUUGAGAAUGAUAAUAAUUGGCAUUGGUUUUUGGAGCAGUUGAGAUCUGCUAUUUCUACUUCACAAUCCUUAACUUUUGUUUCUGAUAAAGAGAAGGGACUAUUGAAAUCUGUGCUUGAAGUAUUUGAGAAUGCUCACCAUGGUUACUCUAUAUACCCCCUGCUGGAUGACUUCAUGAGAAAUUUGAGAGGACCAUUCCAUGGAGAUGGAAAAGCUGCUUUGCCUGCAAGUUUUUUUGCUGCUGCACAUACAGUCCGAUUUGAUAGUUUCAAAAUGUUCACUGAGCAAAUUAAACAGGUUUCUUCAAAAGCAUAUGAUUGGCUUAUGCAGAUUGAACCAGAAUGUUGGACAAAUGCAUUUUUCAAGGGUGAGAUUUAUAAUCAAAUUACAGUAAAUAUUGUAGAGUUGUACACUAAUUGGAUUGAAGAAGUGUGGGAGCUGCCUAUAAUAAGGAAGGUGGAAGCACUUGGAUGCAAAAUGAUGGAGUUGAUGGACAAACGUGAAAUGGAUUCAAAUGGGUGGACUACAAAUCUUGCUCCAUCCAAAGAGAAAAAACUACAAGAGGAGACUCUGAAGGCACAGGCUUUCAAAGUAUUAUUUUCAUCUGAUACAGUGUUUGAGGUUCACGGUGACUCUAUUUUUGUUGUGGAUAUUGUCACAAGGGACUGUAGUUGUAUGGAAUGGGCAUUGACUGGAUUACCUUGCUGUCAUGCCAUUGCCGUCUUCAAUCGCAUUGGAAGGAGUGUAUAUGAUUAUUGUUCAAAAUACUACACAGUUGAUAGCUACCGUUCAACAUAUUCCAAGUCCAUAAAUCCUGUUUUAGACAUUUUUGAGCCUUUGGGUGAAGAAGAUGCCUCAGAGGUGAGGCAAGUGCUUCCUCCGACUACACCUCGGCCACCAACUCAACCAAAGGAAAAACAAUAUAAAAGAAAGCGUGAACUUAAAAGAGUAAUGACUUGCACCAGGUGUAAGGGAGAAGGGCAUAAUAAGGCUACCUGCAAGGAAACCUUGUAGUUCUGUCUGGGAAGUUCGACCUCAGCUAAUUUCCUGACGAGCUUUCACUAAUUAAAGGGAAAUAAAUAGGAGGAAAUUUCAUAGGUCUCUAGUCUACUUGUGCAUGUGCGACACUGUACAGUUUUUAUUUGUUUUGCGGAUGUUAUGCAGUUCUUGAUGUUGUCAAUUUUGAAAUAAUCUGCGAUGCGUAUCAAGAAUGCUACAGUGCUUGACGACCGCAUUUUCUAGUAAUGUUGAUUAGCAAGAGUUCCUUCUGGUAUUGAAAUUUGCUCUGCUUGAGAACCUAUUACACUAUUUAUGGGGUACGAAUCAUUGAAUUCUUCAGUGUUGAUUUGUUUCACUAGUUCGGGAAGGAAAUGCCGAAAUUAAAUAUAUAUAAAGCUGAAAUGCA